ACAACGUUUUCUGAUAUGUACCUCGGCUACACAACGACCCUGGCAUCAUUCCUCUCACUGGAGUUCAACAGACUGAAUCAUUCUGAGAAAAAUCACAAAACACAGAACGGCCAGAUGGAGAGAGAGGAAAUGAAACUGCUCUCUCUGCUAUUGGCACCCGUCUCUCGCAUCCACAGCUACCUGAGCCACAUCCAGAACCUGUUGCAGUGGACGGGUAAAGAGCAUCCUGAC